UUAGCUUAGCUUAGCUUAAAGAAUGGAAACAGCUGUAAAAACACGUGUGUGAAGUGUAAAAGUAUUUAAAAAAACAGGUGCAGUAACUUCCUGGAGUCUCUGCUGGUCAUUGUGAUGUCAAGACAUGUCACAAACCACAACUAAUUUUUAUACUAUGGUUUUUGUACGGUUUAAACAAACAAGACACAUUGUGUUAAUUAGUGAGCUUUAGAGGUGCUGGUAGGCAGAUUUUGUCUCCUUUGGACAGAGCCGGGCUAGCUGUUUCCCUUUGUUUCCAGUCUUUGUGCUAAGCUAAGCUAACCAGCUGCUGGCUGUAGCUUCAUAUUUAAUGGACAGGUAUGGUAUCGAUUUCCUUAUUUAACGUUCGGCCAGAAAGUGAAUAAGCAUAUUUCCCAAAAUGUCUAUUUCUGUAAUUCCACUCGGAUUCUUCAACUUCUGCUUUAUGUUCCCCCAACAAGGACAAAAGUUAACACCAACCAAGGCAGUCAGGCUGUCUUGAUGUAGCUCUAAGUUCACUGCAGACUGUGAAGUAAAACUGAGCAUUUGACAGUUCAGCAGGCUGGGUCAUGACAGCAAGAUCUGCACUGAAACAGUCUCGAUAUAGCUCAUGUGUGUAUGCUUGUUGUCAGAGUUACACAAACAGAGAGAAGAAGAAGGAGGAGGAGAAACACUGAGCGCAUUACAGUGAAGAGAAGAGAUAUUUUCAGUCUCUCGGAGUCUUUAAGGCAAAGCUGUCCUCUGGUGAGGAUUAGGGAUCGUUGGGUAGUAAGCAGAGGCUGGCCGCAGGACUGUGGACAUCUAAGAAAGGCAUUCCUUGCGAUGCUGUGGCUGUGGAUUCAGACACAGUUGGAAGGAUGCAUUAAAGCGAAAGAGAGGAGGGUAGGAGGUCAGAGGAGGAGAGACUAGUAGCAGGUGCACACAGCGCUGUAGGAGGAUAGUGGAUUACUGACUGCAGGAUUAAAGUGUGAAUGUUGUUGUAGUGAUGAUGAGGAGGGGUGAGACCAGGGUGAGAAGUUGAUGUGACUCAGCUCUCACAGCCACUUCCUUUGGCGCCUUCGGGAUGGACAGAUGAAAGGAGGAGCAGGAGCGACUCAUCUUGUGGUCAGCUGACUCACGAUAUAGCAAUGGAUACUGGGAAAGGAAGCAUGUGUUGGGUGAUGGGGGGCUGGACUUACGUAUGCAUGUGUGUGAAUGUACUAUGCCUUUGACAGAGGCACAAUUAUUCCAUUUCCUGUCACAGCAGAGGAAUGCAGGGUGAGAUUCCUGCUCUGUGAUUCGUGGCCUCUUACCUGCCAUCACCAUGCGGAUACUAUUUCAUCCCUCCAUUUCCCCCUCGGCCGGGGAAUUCCCCAGUUUGUGUGGUUUUACUGGAGGAAGUUACAGAGUUUGUAUUCCGUAAGCUGUGCUUGUUCUGGUAAUAAUUAGAUACUUCAAGUUGUGGUUAGUUUAACAAAGCUAUGUUCCUGUUUUCUCUACACACAAUUUAUUUUGCUCAUUUGAAGGAGGUCGGGAGUGUAAUCCACUCGUAAAUGAGGGAAACCAAGGAAAGAUACUGCUGUGUUGUUUUCGCUGCAUUUUAGAGCUAGUCAUGUACAAGCAUGGAGGUAAUAGCUCUGGAGGAUGUGGAUGAAAUGUGUAAGUAGAGUAAUUGCUUGUUUGCUUCGCGAGAGCAAGGUGCUUUGUCAUGCCGGGUGUUUGAUGUUUGUGAGAGAGUGAAUGAGUUUAAGAAGGUGCUACUGUAAUUUUUAUUUCCUGUAUGGUUAAUUAUCUUGUGAGAGGCAAACUGGUUUUUUAAGGCUUGCAAAACAUUCAUAUCUCCAAUGUUUACAUCCUUAUAAUUUACUGUAAAUAAAGAUAUUAAUACAGCGCAGUCUCUCUGCGUGUGUGUGUGUGUGUGUGUGUGCGUGUGUGUGUUUCUGUGUGUGUGGGAGCCCGUGUUGACUCACAGUUACAAUAAUGACUGGCAGAGCGGUGGAUGAACAGCUCACUCUGACUGUACAGAGCAGAGAGAGGGAGAGAGAGAGGAGAGGGGGCUGUGCUCUGCCUGGCAUCUCCAUCUCAUAAGUCCUCAGCCGCUCAGUGUGUCCAUCCACACAAACACAUCCAUACAGAGAGAAGACAACCCUGAGGACUACGGCGCCUACAGUGCAGCAUAAUAUAGUACACUUCAGUACAGUGCGAGGCGGGACCAGCUUUUAGUUGGAGCAGCAAGUGUGAUUGGUGACAGAUCAUUUGCAACAGAACGGGCCAUCGUGCAGAGAGAGGAGCAAAUACAGGACAGCUGCCCUCUUCAAACAACAGCUACUUUUGACCUACAUCUGCAUCCAAUUAGUAAAACAAGGCUCAUCAGUCCAUAUUACACAACAUCAAGGAUCUCUUUCUCUGUAUCCAACAUGUCUUGUAUUGCAUGUUUCAAGCAUAAUGCACUGUCUAUCAAAUCAGAAGGCUUGUCGAGUUGAGGACUGCACUCAGAAACUGAUUUCAUUUGGUGACAUAGAUGUUUGUACCCAGUCUCUAGCACCAUAUGAAAUCAGUGUUCUGGGAGGUGGACUAUCAGCAUGUACAGACGUUGUACAUGAAUAAACUGAAAUAUGAGAUGUUCUUGUGAUGCCAAAAAGUGGGUCACAUUUGUAUAAAUUACUGUACUCUCCUGCUUCAUUCACUAACUGGUCACAGCUGCAACCUGCUUCUUGUUAAAUCUUUUUUUUUCCCCUCACUGUGUCUCUCAUUGACUCAAAUAUACAUUUAUCAUGAUUCCACUUUCAUUAAUAAAUUCUGUUAUUUAAUGUAUUUUGGAUAAUUAAGUCUUCCUGAACAGUGGCCAUAACUGCCAACUAAGAGAUAAGGUAAAUGCAAAAACGUAGUGUAACAGUAGUAAGCAGAGAAGAGUCACAAAGUCAGACUCAGUGAUUUAAGUUACACAACAAUAUCUAAAGUUUGCUAACAUUAGCCACCAUAAGCUACUGGUCAUACCAGACCAAGUAAGGAUGUAGCAGCAAAACCCCUGAGUGUACUGAAUUGAGCUAUGGUGCGUUGUAUUGCCUUUGAAUUCAACAUUUCAUUUGUAAGAGGAAGAACGCUGCCUUUCUUAUUUUAAAAGCUACAUAGUUUCACUUUAAAGGCUCAUUCUCUGACUGAAGUCUGCUACCAACUGGCGUGCUUGUCAUCCCAUUACAAAGUUUUCUCUAUGUAGUUUUUUUACUUUAAAAUGAUUAUGAAAUGUACUAUUUAGAUUUCAUCAAAACAAAUCAGUGUAAGGGAUCGCAACUUUAUACAGUUUUGAGACAAUCAGAGGUUGCUCUACAUAUUUAUGAAAUACUGAAAUUAACCUGUAUUUUGUUGUAAUAAACGUGUAAAAUUAUAUUAAGGUGUUUGCUGUGUCCGUAAUACAUGUCACAGAUAAAAUAAAUUAAUCGCAAUAAAAGUUUUCAGUGCCGCUACCGUACAUUUACAUAUCCCUGGACUUCAUCUGUCAACUGGAGAUUAUUUCUUCUGAGCACUCAAGGUUUUCUAGCUUCAGCUGAAAUUAAUUGAAAUGGCUGGAUUUAAUCCAUCUCCCUCAUUAAACUUGACUCAGUUCUUGAAAAUAUAUUACAUAACAUAAGUGUUUAAAUAGUCUCAUCACCUGUUGGAUUUAAUGGAGCAAAUAAAUAACUUGCAAAAAUACA